CCUGACCAAAGAGCAGAACACAUCUGAAGGCAACCGAUGGGGCUUCAAUACAGUACGGAAAAUCCUGCAACUAGAGGCGUGCUUCAACUGGCCCAAAACAAAAAUGUGCACUUAUGUAUGUGCCUGUCCCGAAUCAGAAGCCUGUAGUUCAGUGGUUGUCUCUGGUUUAAGUGUUACAUAUUUGAUGUUUUUUUUUCUCACAUAAAUAAGGCCGUUAGUUUUCUUGUUUGAAUUGUUUUACAUUGUCAUUUCGGGGCCUUUUAUAGCUGACUAUGCGGUAUGGGGUUUGCUCAUUGUUGAAGGCCGUACGGUACCUAUAGUUGUUAAUUUCUG
rnacentral:lncRNA from 1 species